rnacentral:rRNA from 1 species
AUGGAGCAUCUCCAGGACGGCCACUACGUGCGGCUGCGGAGCCGCGUGCACGGCACGUACCUGCACGCCGACGAGGACGGGCAUGGCGUCUCCCUCCACCACCGCCGGGAUUCCAUGAACGCGGCUUGGGCGGUGCACUUGUACCACCAGGGCAAUGCUUACGCCCUGGCCCAGCACAUGCUUCUCUACAGCGCCGCCUACGGCCGCUACCUCGUCGCCACGAACGCGCCGGCGCCGCUGGGCCACCGCGGGCGCCGCGUCGAGCAGCGCAACUACGAUGAUCAAGAGGAGGAGGCCAUCAGGUGGGAGCCCGUCGCCGUCGGGGCCGACUCCGGGAACGACGUCCUGCUCCGCAACGUCGCCGGCCGCCACCUCCGCAACGGCGCCUGGCGCUACCUCCGCGCCAACGGCAGGUACAUCCACACCGGCGCCAGCGUCGACGCCUUCGACAACUUCAGCACGAACAUGCACUGGGUGGUGGAGCCCAUCCCCGUCAGGGCCGCCAUGCCUCUCCUUCGACCUCCGACUAGGGUCAGGCUUCCCUUCACCCGAAGAGUCAUCACCGUGUUGCCGAUGCCGUCGCGGGUGAUCGUGUACGUGCGGGCGGGCGCCGACGGGAGCCGCAUCGCCCGCGGCGCCUUCGUGUUCGAGGGGAACUCCGUGUUCGACCUGAGGGAAACUCUGAUCCGCCGCCUGGAGGCCACCAUGGGCGUCUCCGACGUCGCCAUGUGCGUCGAAGCGGGUGCUUUCGGGCGGCCUACCCCACUCGUCGUCGACCUGCCCCGCAGCCGCCAGAACCUCCACAUCCUCGUCUUCGCGGUCGGGACGCCAGCCCACGCGGGGGUGCGGUACCCGGACGUCGAUGCAGUGUAG